rnacentral:rRNA from 1 species
CCUACGGGAGGCAGCAGUGAGGAAUAUUGGUCAAUGGGCGAGAGCCUGAACCAGCCAAGUCGCGUGAAGGAUGCCGGCCCUACGGGUUGUAAACUUCUUUUGUCAGGGCGCAAUUGGGUCCACGCGUGGGCUUAGCGAGAGUACCUGAAGAACAAGCAUCGGCUAACUCCGUGCCAGCCGCCGCGGUCAUACGGAGGAUGCGAGCGUUAUCCGGUUUUAUUGGGUUUAAAGGGUGCGUAGGCGGAAUAUCAAGUCAGCGGUAAACAUUCGGGGCUCAACCCCGUCGUGCCGUUGAAACUGAUGUUCUUGAGUGGGCGAGAAGUAUGCGGAAUGCGUGGUGGAGCGGUGAAAUGCAUAGAUAUCACGCAGAACUCCGAUUGCGAAGGCAGCAUACCGGCGCCCAACUGACGCUGAAGCACGAAAGCGUGGGUAUCGAACAGGAUUAGAUACCCCUGUAGUC